GCUGAAUAGCUGAGAGGCGCACCCGGGCGGCCAGCUGGGCUCGGAGUGCAGCGGGGUUAGGAUGGACGAGGACGUGUUGCACCCUGAAGAGCCUCAUCAUCGGUGAGAGUGGGGUGGGCAAGUCCAGCCUGCUCUUGAGGUUCACAGAUGAUACCUUUGAUCCAGAACUUGCAGCAACAAUAGGACAAGCAUCUGUGGCCCACGCGGUCUGCCUGCAUGCACAUCUGGUCUGCCGUCUGCAUGUUUUAUCUGCUGCGAGGCUCCGUGCCCCUGGCUCCUGCAACACCUUGCCCUGGCUCUAGAAUACUAACGCCGCCGUGAUGGAGUUAGAAGGAGAAGGAGGCCACACUGGGGGAAAAGCCUCAUGGAUGUGCCCUCUGCAGGCGAAGGAAGCCCUUCUCAGUGGAGGAAAGACGGAGACCCAAAUAACUCACUUGGGUGCAUAAGGAUCGAAAAUGACAUCGAAGUCCUCAUCCAUCUCCACAGGACUUCUUGGCAUAUUAUAAUCCACGCUGCGGUAAAAUUUGGCAAAGGUUUCAUCAUCAUCUGGCUUCAUCACCUCCUUCACAGAUUUGCCGGUGACAGUGAGCACCGUUUCGUGCAUCCCGCCAACUAUCAACAAACAAGCAAAAGACAUAAGAGUUUUAUAAAAACAAGGACUCCAAUUAUGCUUCACAAUAGUUUAAAAAUUCUAUUGCCUCCUAAGUUCCAGGAGUGGAAGAAACACGGUUGUGAUAUACAGGGUCCUGUGGUUGCUUCCCAGGCCCUUACUUAAUCUCUGACGUAAGGACUUCCCACCUGAACAAAUCUGCAGUAAAAUGGGAGAGAGGGAGGCUGACCAUACUGCACACACGCGCCCACUGAACGCUUCUGAACCUGCCCUUGCUUCUGUUGAGGGUAGGUGAACCAGCCUCAGCCUCAUUCUACGUGAAGGGUUGGCAAACUUUUUCCAAAAAGGGCCAGCCAGUAAACAUUUUAGGCUUUGCAUGGGGAGGGGUGACAUGGGGCCUGUGUUGCGACAACUCAGUUCUGCUGUCUUAAUGCAAAAGCUAUUGACAAUAGUUCACAAAUGGGCAUGGAUAUGUUUCAAUAAAACUUUAUUUACAAAAACA
rnacentral:lncRNA from 1 species